GCUCCAGUGGCGCAAUCGGUCAGCGCGCGGUACUUAUAAUGCCGAGGUUGUGAGUUCGAACCUCACCUGGAGCA